UAAGUACUUUCGCUUGCAGAGAGAAAUCACAGUGGUCAAAAAAGUUGUAGUUUUCUUAAAGUCUCUUUCCUCUGUGAUUCUCUGUGUAAGCGAAAGAGCUUG
rfam:Arabidopsis thaliana chromosome 3, complete sequence.